AGAGUUUGAUCCUGGCUCAGAAUCAACGCUGGCGGCGUGCCUCAGACAUGCAAGUCGAACGAUUAAGACUUCCUUCGGGAAGUGCAUAAAGUGGCGCACGGGUGAGUAACACGUAAGUAAUCUACCCUCGAGUGGGGAAUAACGUUCGGAAACGGACGCUAAUACCGCAUAACGCAGCGGCACCGCAAGGUGACAGUUGUUAAAGGAGCAAUCCGCUUGAGGAGGAGCUUGCGGCAGAUUAGCUAGUUGGUAGGGUAAUGGCUUACCAAGGCUACGAUCUGUAUCCGGUCUAAGAGGACGGUCGGACACACUGACACUGAAUAACGGGUCAGACUCCUACGGGAGGCAGCAGUCGGGAAUUUUGGGCAAUGGGCGAAAGCCUGACCCAGCAACGCCGCGUGAAGGAUGAAGUAUUUCGGUAUGUAAACUUCGAAAGAAUAGGAAGAAUAAAUGACGGUACUAUUUAUAAGCUCCGGCUAACUACGUG
rnacentral:rRNA from 1 species